UCGAGGCCAUUUGGGAGAAUCCCCCAAAGAGGAAGAAAAGGAUGGCCUUUAUGUCCACUCCACAUUUGGACAGAUUAAACGAAGACAAAGAGCUAAUGAAACACAUGGUGGCUCUGGUACCAUCAUUGCCUACUACAACAAGUAUUCCUGGCUUCCCCUCUGCACCACAUCCCAAAGCUGAGGUAUAUCCAAGUAUGUUGAGUCUUGUGCCAGCGUGCCCUAAAGUGGCCAGUCCCCCGGGUUUUGCAUCCACUGGGGGGGCUACAACAUUAGAGUGGCUUGUUAACCCAAAGUCUAUGUUUGAGCACUUGCAGAAAGAUAAGGAGAAUAAAGAAGAAAACGAUUCUCCAAAAUACAGAUCGAAAGAACACAGUGAGAAAGUUAAAGCAAUGGUUGAUAUGGUGUCAUGUGGCUCAGAUGUAUCCACGAUUCCUGGCUUCCCCUCUGCUCCACAUCCAAAAACUGAGGUGGGGCCAAGUAGUGUGCAUCUUGUUCCCUCCUGCACUAAAGUUUCUAGUCUACCUGGUUUUCCAUCCAUUGAGAAGGAUAGGUGGGCAGGGUGGGUUGUUGACCAGAGGCCAUUGUUGAAGAGACCACUAAAGGAGAGGAAAGUCAUUAUUGACAGCUCAAAAGCAGACCAAGAGGAAAUGAAAACCAAUGUUCCUUUGAGGCUAUCAUGUCCACACUCUGCAAGGAUCCCUGGCUUCCCAUCUGUACCCCAACCCAAUAUGAUGAUUAUUUUGCCUGCUUGCUCUAAAGUUUCCAGUGCGGAGGCUACAACAUUAAAGUGGCUUGUUGACCCCAAGCCUGUGUUUGAGCACUUGCUGAAGAAGGAGGAGGAAGAUGUUUUUCCAAAAGACGAAUCAAAAGAAGACAUUGACAAAAUGAAACCAGUAGUUGCUUUAGUGCCAUGUUGCCCAGAAGUAGCCAUCAUUCCUGGCUUCCCCUCUUGUUUCCCCUCUGUACCACAACCCAAAGAUGUCUACUUGGGGCAAACUGUAGUCAACCUUCUUCCAUCUUGCCCAAAAGUCUCCAGUAUUGCAGGUUUCCCAUCUCAUCAGCAAACUGACAGAAAAUAUUGGCACACAGAUCCACCCAGAGAUCAUCAACCAUUAUGGGAGAAGCAACUGAAAAAGAAGCAGAAGUUAUUGAUGGGAAUAUCAGAAAAAGACAAACAAGGAAUGAAAGGAAUAGUGGCUCUGGUACCAUCAUGUCCUACUGCAGCAAGUAUUCCUGGCUUCCCCUCUGCACCACAUCCCAAAGCUGAGGUAGAGCUAAGUAUGUCGAGUCUUGUGCUCGCUUGCCCCAAAAUGUCCAGUCUACCUGGUUUUGCAUCCACUGAUGGGGCUACAGCAUUAGAGUGGCUUGUUGACCCAAAAUCUAUGUUUGAGCACUUGCAAAAGAAGAAGGAAGAGGAAGAAAACAUUCUCCCAAAAGUCAUCGGCAAAACAAAAGCAUUGGUUGCUUUGGUGCCAUGUUGCCCAGAAGAAGGCAGGAUUCCUAGCUUCCGCUCUGCACCACAACCUAAGAGGGAGCUUAAUAGUGUGGAUCUCACGCGAUCUUGCCCCAAAAGCUCCAGUCUCCCAGGUUUCCCAUUGACGGCCAACGUCCAGACAAGAGAUUGGCACGUUGAACAGAAGCCUUUGUUUGAGAAGAAGCUGAAAGAUAAAACCGUAAUAAUCAAAGAUAGGUCACCAGAAGACAGAGAAAAUAGGGUGUCACUGGCACCAUCUUGCCCAUGUGAGAGUCUCACUUCUGGGUUCCCGUUCUUUACACAACUAAAAGCAAUAGAAGAACAAACCGUGUUUUCCCUAAUGCGAGCCUGUCCAAGUGAAUCUCGAGAACCAGGAUUACCUUCUAGACAGCCGUCUGAAUUAGCCCGAACCCAGGGAGAAGAAUCUGUGAGUUCUAUGCAGCCAAUGUGGGAAAAACCAUUGAAGGAUAAUAGGUCAGAGAAUAUGGUGCUUUCCACACCUGACCUCGGCAGUGCAGUUGGAGAUGAAAACCUAAAAACAUUGCUUGCACUGGUUCCAUCUUGCCCCGAGGCAGCAAGCAUUCCUGGUUUCCCGUCUGCCCCUCCUCACAGUCUAGAGUCUACAGAGGCAAAUGAGACAAGUAUGCAGACAGAGAAGGAAGAGGUUACUGGAGAACCAGCAGAGUGUGUUCUAGAUAAGGGUGUCCCCGACAGCCCACAAAUAGAGAAAAUCCCAUCUGAGGAAAUCCAGAAGUCCUCUGCAGUGUUAGAACCAGAGCUGGUCUUAGGAUGGGAGGUGUUGGAGGCUGAGGGGUCUGUGGCAGAGAAGCAGCAGGAGGCCUCUGGCCUAGUACAGACCAUUUUUGGUGUCUUCUCCAGGGGGUAAGUGGGAGAUUGUAGGCUCCUAUGAAGCACGGCAAAGUGUGUGGUGUGUUCUGUAGAUUCUUAGUCUAAUUGUCACCAGUGUCACCCUCACGUUCACUAGUUUAUUUAUAUUAAUGUUUGCAUAUAAUGGCAUUUUCUAUUUUUGAUUCAUUGAUUUAACAAAUCCUAUUUUGGUCAAAUCAAGUACUUUUAGCAACUCUCACAUACAGUUAAUAAAAUAAAUGUAUUGAAGUUUGAAUGAUCUGUGUUUAAUCUCUCAGAUUU